rnacentral:rRNA from 1 species
GACGGAGGAUGCAAGCGUUAUCCGGAAUGAUUGGGCGUAAAGCGUCCGCAGGUGGCAGUUCAAGUCUGCUGUCAAAGACCGGGGCUUAACUUCGGAAAGGCAGUGGAAACUGAACAGCUAGAGUAUGGUAGGGGCAGAGGGAAUUCCUGGUGUAGCGGUGAAAUGCGUAGAUAUCAGGAAGAACACCCGUGGCGAAGGCGGCUCUCUGGGCCGUAACUGACGCUGAGGAGCGAAAGCGUGGGGAGCGAACAGG